rnacentral:rRNA from 1 species
GACGAACGCUGGCGGCGUGCUUAACACAUGCAAGUCGAACGGUAAGGCCCUUUGGGGUACACGAGUGGCGAACGGGUGAGUAACACGUGGGUGAUCUGCCCUGCACUUCGGGAUAAGCCUGGGAAACUGGGUCUAAUACCGGAUAGGACCACUGCCUGCAUGGGUGGUGGUGGAAAGCUUUUGCGGUGUGGGAUGGGCCCGCGGCCUAUCAGCUUGUUGGUGGGGUGAUGGCCUACCAAGGCGACGACGGGUAGCCGGCCUGCGAGGGUGACCGGCCACACUGGGACUGAGAUACGGCCCAGACUCCUACGGGAGGCAGCAGUGGGGAAUAUUGCACCAUGGGCGCAAGCCUGAUGCAGCGACGCCGCGGGAGGGAUGACGGCCUUCGGGUUGUAAACCUCUUUCAGCACCGACGAAGCGCAAGUGACGGUAGGUGCAGAAGAAGGACCGGCCAACUACGUGCCAGCCGCCGCGGUAA